GAGGAAUAUUGGUCAAUGGGCGCAAGCCUGAACCAGCCAUCCCGCGUGAAGGAAGAAGGCGCUAUGCGUUGUAAACUUCUUUUCCAGGGGGCGAACGUUCCGUACGUGUACGGGAGUGACGGUACCCUGGGAAUAAGCAUCGGCUAACUCCGUGCCAGCAGCCGCGGUAAUACGGAGGAUGCGAGCGUUAUCCGGAUUUAUUGGGUUUAAAGGGUGCGUAGGCGGAUUAAUAAGUCAGUGGUGAAAACCUGCAGCUUAACUGUGGAACUGCCGUUGAUACUGUUAGUCUUGAGUAUGGUCAAGGUAGGCGGAAUGUGUAAUGUAGCGGUGAAAUGCUUAGAUAUUACACAGAACACCGAUUGCGAAGGCAGCUUACUGGGCCGUUACUGACGCUGAUGCAUGAAAGCGUGGGGAUCGAAC
rnacentral:rRNA from 1 species